rnacentral:lncRNA from 1 species
GGGGGAGGCAAGGAGCCGAAGAUCACGGCCCGGCGGCUGGCCACGCCUCCAGGCCCACCUGCCCGCACCUCAACGCCACCUGCCCGCUGGCACCUGCCCCAGCCCCCCAGGAGGACUCCUUGUGCUGAUGAACAUGCAUGAGCUCUUUCAAGAUGAGGUGUGUGGGUUUUAGUCAGGAGUGUCCAGAGGUACACUCUUCACACCCAGGGAUGUCACCCCAACAAUGGGAGUGUAAAGGCGAUGAGGAGGGUGCUGUGGACAUUCAGGGCCCUGAGGCCCCGAGGGUGUCAGGUCACAGACCUGGGGGACCUCCCAGGUACUGCUGGGGGCAGUGCCCUGGGGUCAGCCCAGGACCAGAGAUGCUCAGCCACCUCCCCUGGUCGGACACUGGGCAAGCUACCUCCCGUCCUCCUUGGCUAAGUGGGGACGGUGACCUCAGUGUCCCGGUGCUUUGUUCAGCAAAUGGAGGGGACUCUGGGGAUGAGCAAAGUGGCAGACCUUAUUCUGGGGCCAGGGAAACUCCAAAAUAAGAAGUGAGCCUGGGGGACGGUGCAGUUUCCACCAAGGAUCCACAGUGGGCGGGCAGUCCUGGGCCCACUGGCUUGGAGGCCACCUGUCCCUUCCAGGUGUGCUCUCGGAUCCUCUUGGGAUAGCUCCCAGCUCAGGGUAUGCUCCUGCCAAGCUGCCCAGAGGCCGAGAGGAGCGCGCCCCUCUUCCCAUCCCCUCUCUGCAAGAGCCAGGGAGCACCCAGAACCCCAGAAUUCCUCUCUUGACUUGGCCAAAAUUGCACCCCAUUCUUUUUCAUACACCUUCGGCAGCUGAGAAAAUGGAAUUUUUGUGAUUGGCCACCAGAAAGGUAGCUUCUGGGGACAUGUUGGAAAUGUGUGUGUGUGUGUGUGUUGUAGGAUGGGGACAGGGUGCUGGAUAGUCGUCUGGGGCAGGCUGUCCUGUUUCCCACCCAAGUUCCGGUGUCCUCUGGGCACUCACCGGAGUACCAGCUGUUUGACCAUCUUAGCCGAGAACUUACACCAACUUUAGAUGGAAACAAGAUUCUUGCAAGAUUUCAAUGUGUGCGGAGGAUUCUGCUCGUGCCCACGUGUGGCCGGCAUUUCCCUUGUCCUCUGUGGCUGGCCGCUAGGGACGCUCCUCCCCUUCCAGCGGGUGCCCCCACUGUGCUGCUUCUGGGUCUGCUCAUUUGCAUAUUGAAAUAUGAUUUAUUAAAUUGCAAAUUAUUGUCCUUUUAUUUCUUUUUCACAAUCCAC